rnacentral:rRNA from 1 species
AUUGAACGCUGGCGGCAGGCCUAACACAUGCAAGUCGAACGGUAACAGGAAGCAGCUUGCUGCUUUGCUGACGAGUGGCGGACGGGUGAGUAAUGUCUGGGAAACUGCCUGAUGGAGGGGGAUAACUACUGGAAACGGUAGCUAAUACCGCAUAACGUCGCAAGACCAAAGAGGGGGACCUUAUGGCCUCUUGCCAUCGGAUGUGCCCAGAUGGGAUUAGCUAGUAGGUGGGGUAACGGCUCACCUAGGCGACGAUCCCUAGCUGGUCUGAGAGGAUGACCAGCCACACUGGAACUGAGACACGGUCCAGACGCCUACGGGAGGCAGCAGUGGGGAAUAUUGCACAAUGGGCGCAAGCCUGAUGCAGCCAUGCCGCGUGUAUGAAGAAGGCCUUCGGGUUGUAAAGUACUUUCAGCGGGGAGGAAGGGAGUAAAGUUAAUACCUUUGCUCAUUGACGGUACCCGCAGAAGAAGCACCGGCUAACUCCGUG